rnacentral:rRNA from 1 species
CCUACGGGGGGCAGCAGUAGGGAAUAUUGCUCAAUGGGGGAAACCCUGAAACAGCAACGCCGCGUGGAGGAUGAAGGUUUUCGGAUUGUAAACCCCUUUUGUUAGAGAAGAUAAUGACGGUAUCUAACGAAUAAGCACCGGCUAACUCCGUGCCAGCAGCCGCGGUAAUACGGAGGGUGCAAGCGUUACUCGGAAUCACUGGGCGUAAAGAGCGCGUAGGCGGGAUAGCAAGUCAGAUGUGAAAUCCUUUGGCUUAACCAUAGAACUGCAUUUGAAACUGUUAUUCUAGAGUAUGGGAGAGGUAGGUGGAAUUCUUGGUGUAGGGGUAAAAUCCGUAGAGAUAAAGAGGAAUACUCAUUGCGAAGGCGACCUGCUAGAACAUAACUGACGCUGAUGCGCGAAAGCGUGGGGAGCAAACAGGAUUAGAUACCCGGGUAGUC